ensembl:lncRNA novel transcript
CACACACACACACCAUGCCCCCCGCCACCACCACCACGCACACAGACGCAGGUUCCUGGAACUGUUUCCCCCAGUUCUCUGCCUCAGACAUCUUCACCCCAUGUCCUGCCCUGAUCUGGUGUUCUGGGCAUGGCUCCUUUUAUUGCUUUUUAAAAGGAGUCUGUGGUUUUAUGAGGGCUGUUUGGCCGGCAGAGGUUGGGCUAGGCCGGGUUUUCGAUGCCUGUGGCCCUGUCAGCCCAGGGAAGAGGCCGCUGAAGCUGAGCAGCUGCUCCUGAAAACAGCCCGGGACAGCUCUUCCCAGCCUCCGCCCGCUGCACUGAGCACUCCACUCUCUCUGCCCUCCGGCUGCUAGCUCCGAUGGCAGCCCCCGGCCUCUCAGUAAUCCUCAGCAACUCAAGCUUUCGCUGGAGUCCUCGGCAGGUGGGCGGCUGUAAAAUCUUUUUGUUUGCUGCUUUGUCAUCCUCUUCCCAUCCCCGACCGGCAGUACCCAUGGUCCAGGAAAUAAACACCCAGUACAAAAACUCCCUGUUCGUAUCUGGUAAAUUUUCAACUAAAAAGUUCAGCGUUCAGGUGAGUGGGCUCGAGAUCCAGCCGGUUUGAAGAGAGAGGAAUAAAGGACAGGGUGUUGGGCGUGGGACUGGCACCCGCUGAAACCCUCAUCCUGUGGGUGCCCGGUGUGGGUCCCCGCUGGCGUCACAACGUGCAGCCCACCUGCUCUGCCAGCUUCCGCGACCUUGAUCUCAGCCAAUCCUGUUUUGGGCCCCAUCACAGUCUUUCUGUCUGUGGAGCUGGGCAAGCAGGAGGUUUCUCAGGGCCCAAGAUGGUUUUUCAGAUGUGAAUAUUGGCCAACUCCCGAAGUUGCUAGAAAAAUGUAGGCAGCUUGGCCACCGAAGUAAAAGCCAUCGAUGGCAUUUUUCCCAGCCUCAGCUGAAUUCAAACCACUAAACUCUUGUGGUUUAUUUUUUUUACAGCUUUCUUAGCUAACAGGACUGGAUGCCUUUAAAAAACUUUUCAAAAUAAUAUUUUGGAACCUAGCAUUAUUUGGUUUUCCCUCUGUAAAGGCUAAUCUAUCAUAAUUUCCCCAUAGCUUGCUUUGCGGAAGAGGGUGGGUGAGGGACAAAGGAAAGGUAACAUGCUAACCAAGACAAGCGUAGUGUGAAGGAAGGGCGGGCCCUGUUCGGCCUCUGCCCAGCAGAGUCACAAGCUUUGUGGGCCUCAGUGUCCUCCUCUGGAGAACAGGAAGAAUAAUACGACAGCCCAACUACCUUACAAGACAGUUCUGUGAUUAGGCUGAUGUUCGUCAGAACAUUUAGUCACCGUAAAAUGCUACACAAUGUGAAUUAUUGUGCUUUAACAAAUAAUUUGAAAGCAGUAUAAAGUGCUUCUAGACUUGCAGAUAUCAAGAAAGCUGGAUAUCUGGGUUAUUCAUUCUCGGUUGGCAAAAGGUGGUCCCUGCAUGAUCAGCCCUACGGGCCCCACAUAUUCUUUUAAGGGCUCAGGCUUUUGGAAGGCUUCUCAGUGCAGCAAGCAUGAAUAGUAAGGGCUACGCUGCGCUCUUUACUUACUUGUUUUUGCCUUAAACCAUCACAGUUACCACAAGGGUUAAGGAUGCAGGUAGCAUUGCAGACAGACUGACAGAGCUUUGUGUUCUGGCUUGGCCAAUUAGCUUAGCUUCUCUGAGCCCAGUUUCCUCAUCUGUAAAACAGGUAUAACAACAACAACAACAACAACAAUAAUAGUAAUCAGCUGAUACAAUUCUUGUGAGAUUAAAAGACAACAUUCACAAAUUGCUUACCAGUAUGAUAUCUUGCACAUUGAUUAAAUGAAUGUAAGAUAAUGAUGUUGAUAAUUAUUUUAAGGAAUUUGAGGGAGAAAAUUCCCACCUACGAGUUCCUGUGCACCUAGUGGUGGGACUUUCUCUUGGUCAUGCAUUCAUUUGACAAGCAUUUACUGAAUACCUUCUGUGAGCUCUUAGGAGAUCAGAAUAUGCCAUCCUCAAAUACGAAGGAUUGUUCAGCUGAAGACGAUUAAGAAGCAGAUGCAGGAACCCUUUAGACUUCCCUCUAUUUGCCUAAAAGCAGGACAUAGAUUUACAGAGACAAAGAGUAUUCCUGCCCAGGAGAGCAAAGGUUAACCAAUGAAGACUGCUUUAGACUCUCAUCAGCCUGGAGGUGAUACAGAGGACUCUACUUCACCAGCUGUCUAGCCAGCCUUUGUCCGCCAUGGAUUUGCCUUCCCACAAGUUGCCUGCAGAGACUUACAGUCCUUUUCCUUUGUCCCUUCUCUAAAAAUGUGCUAUUCUUUGUUGAGGAUCUUAUAUAAGCUGGGAGUCAAGGCCACUUCUUGGAGAAUGAUUCUGGAUACUUCUCUGGGUAUCUCCCAUGUAUUUAUAAAAUACACAUGUUAAUCAAC